rnacentral:rRNA from 1 species
CCUACGGGUGGCAGCAGUGAGGAAUAUUGGUCAAUGGACGAGAGUCUGAACCAGCCAAGUAGCGUGAAGGCUGACUGCCCUAUGGGUUGUAAACUUCUUUUAUAUGGGAAUAAAACGUUCCACGUGUGGGAUUUUGUAUGUACCAUAUGAAUAAGGAUCGGCUAACUCCGUGCCAGCAGCCGCGGUAAUACGGAGGAUCCGAGCGUUAUCCGGAUUUAUUGGGUUUAAAGGGAGCGUAGGUGGAUUGUUAAGUCAGUUGUGAAAGUUUGCGGCUCAACCGUAAAAUUGCAUUUGAAACUGGCAGUCUUGAGUACAGGAGAGGUGGGCGGAAUUCGUGGUGUAGCGGUGAAAUGCUUAGAUAUCACGAAGAACUCCGAUUGCGAAGGCAGUUCACUGGACUGCAACUGACACUGAGGCUCGAAAGUGUGGGUAUCAAACAGGAUUAGAUACCCUAGUAGUC